GACGAACGCUGGCGGCGUGCUUAACACAUGCAAGUCGAGCGGUAAGGCCCUUUCGGGGGUACACGAGCGGCGAACGGGUGAGUAACACGUGGGUGACCUGCCCUUAGCUCUGGGAUAAGCCUGGGAAACUGGGUCUAAUACCGGAUAUGACUCCAUGACGCAUGUUGUGGGGUGGAAAGCCUUGUGCGGCUAGGGAUGGGCCCGCGGCCUAUCAGCUUGUUGGUGGGGUGANGGCCUACCAAGGCGACGACGGGUAGCCGGCCUGAGAGGGCGACCGGCCACACUGGGACUGAGACACGGGCCCAGACUCCUACGGGAGGCAGCAGUGGGGAAUCUUGCGCAAUGGGCGAAAGCCUGACGC
rnacentral:rRNA from 1 species